rnacentral:rRNA from 1 species
AUUGAACGCUGGCGGCAGGCCUCACACAUGCAAGUCGAACGAGUGGCGGACGGGUGAGUAAUGUCUGGGAAACUGCCCGAUGGAGGGGGAUAACUACUGGAAACGGUAGCUAAUACCGCAUACCAUCAGAUGUGCCCAGAUGGGAUUAGCUAGUUGGUGGGGUAACGGCUCACCAAGGCGACGAUCCCUAGCUGGUCUGAGAGGAUGACCAGCCACAAUGGAACUGAGACACGGUCCAGACUCCUACGGGAGGCAGCAGUGGCGAAUAUUGCACAAUGGGCGCAAGCCUGAUGCAGCCAUGCCGCGUGUAUGAAGAAGGCCUUCGGGUUGUAAAGUACUUUCGGCAUGGAGGCGUUACCCGAAGAAGAAGCACCGGCGAACUCCGUGCCAGCAGCCGCGGUAAUUC